UACGAAGGGUGCAAGCGUUACUCGGAAUUACUGGGCGUAAAGCGUGCGUAGGUGGUUCGUUAAGUCUGAUGUGAAAGCCCCGGGCUCAACCUGGGAACUGCAUUGGAUACUGGCGAUCUGGAGUGCGGUAGAGGGUGGCGGAAUUCCCGGUGUAGCAGUGAAAUGCGUAGAUAUCGUAAGGAAGACCAGUGGCGAAGGCGGGUCUCUGGACAGUUCCUGACGCUGAGGCACGAAGGUCAGGGGAGCAAACGGG
rnacentral:rRNA from 1 species